GCACUCCAGCAAACCCUGUCCGUCUGUGUCAGUACUGGGCCAGGGCAAUGCGAGGUGCCAUAGUGAUCCAAGGUAUAUCCAGACGGGCCUCCCUUCUGUUGGGGCUUGUCUCUACAACCUUGGCACAUGA